GGAAGCAGACUUAACCAUGUCAGACAGAGAGGAAAUAGAUGAAGGAAGCAGACUUAACCAUGUCAGACGGAGAGGAAAUGCACAUUUUCUUUGGUUCUUGAUUGCAGUGUUUCCCUCGGGUUAAAAUCUUGACAGAAAUUCCUCAAAUGAAAGUUGUUUUGUUUGCCAUUUCUUUUGAGGUAAUAAUCUUGUUUUCAUCCCAGGGGCCCGUCUGUAGAGUUGAUUCUGUUUUCCAUUGCUCUUUCAGGUCCAGAUGCAGAGCAACGGAAAGUGGAGCCACAUCACACCAUCGUGUUUGAUGAUGGAGACUGCAUAGCCGUAGAAAACAAGACAUCAGAGGUUUGCCAUUUUGUCUUGAUUGCGGGACAGCCGAUCAAUGAACCGGUGGUCCAACAUGGUCCGUUUGUGAUGAACACGGAAGAGGAGAUCAACCAGGCAGUCAGAGACUACAGGACAGGGACCAAUGGGUUCGAGAGGGCUACGGCUUGGAGGUCUAAGAUCAGGGAAUCCUUCUAAGAAUCCGCAGACAUCUUCUAAUCAUGUUAUAGGUCUUGUUACGGUCAUGUGACCAAAGUGUAUUUUAAUCAUGAACCAGCUUGAUGUGUGUUUGUCUCUUUUUAAAUCAUUAAAGUUCUCAUUUUAUACUGA